GACGAACGCUGGCGGCGUGCUUAACACAUGCAAGUCGAACGGAAAGGCCCUGCUUUUGUGGGGUGCUCGAGUGGCGAACGGGUGAGUAACACGUGAGUAACCUGCCCUUGACUUUGGGAUAACUUCAGGAAACUGGGGCUAAUACCGGAUAGGAGCUCCUGCUGCAUGGUGGGGGUUGGAAAGUUUGGGCGGUUGGGGAUGGACUCGCGGCUUAUCAGCUUGUUGGUGGGGUAGUGGCUUACCAAGGCUUUGACGGGUAGCCGGCCUGAGAGGGUGACCGGCCACAUUGGGACUGAGAUACGGCCCAGACUACUACGGGAGGCAGCAGUGGGGAAUAUUGCACAAUGGGCGGAAGCCUGAUGCAGCAACGCCGCGUGCGGGAUGACGGCCUUCGGGUUGUAAACCGCUUUCGCCUGUGACGAAGCGUGAGUGACGGUAAUGGGUAAAGAAGCACCGGCUAACUACGUG
rnacentral:rRNA from 1 species